rnacentral:tRNA from 1 species
AAUAAAAUGGCUGAGGUUGAAGCGAUAAGUUGUAAAUUUAUUAACGAGAUAAUUCUCUUUUAUU